UACCAGCACCCCGAGUUGUCGGGACAAUUAUUGGGCCUAAAGCAUCCGUAGCCUGUUCUGCAAGUCCUCCGUUAAAUCCACCUGCUCAACGGAUGGGCUGCGGAGGAUACCGCAGAGCUAGGAGGCGGGAGAGGCAAACGGUACUCAGUGGGUAGGGGUAAAAUCCAUUGAUCUACUGAAGACCACCAGUGGCGAAGGCGGUUUGCGAGAACGCGCUCGACGGUGAGGGAUGAAAGCUGGGGGAGCAAACCGG
rnacentral:rRNA from 1 species